AAUGUCGUGACAAGGGUUUCCCCGUAGGUGAACCUGCGGAAGGAUCAUUUACAAGUGAGGCUACCGAACGCUGGAAAUCAGCGGUUAGGAGCUUACACCCACCCGGUGUUUCACAUACUAUUGUUGCUUGGCGGGCCGUGGCCUCCACUGCGGGCUCUGCUCGUGUGUGCCCGCCAGAGGACCAAAGCUCUGAAUGUUAGUGAUGUCUAAGUCUAUCUAACUGUUAAAAG
rnacentral:misc_RNA from 1 species